rnacentral:misc_RNA from 1 species
UGGACUACCCGGGUUUCUAAUCCCGUUUGCUCCCCUGGCCUUCGUGCCUCAGUGUCAGGAACUGCCCAGGCAUUCGCCUUCGCCACUGGUCUUCCUCACGAUAUCUACGCAUUUCACUGCUACACCGUGAAUUCCAAUGCCCUCUACAGUCCUCGAGCGACGCAGUAUCGAGUGCAGUUUCCAAGUUAAGCUUGGAGAUUUCACACCCGACUUACAUCGCCACCUACGCACCCUUUACGCCCAAUGAAUCCGAACAACGCUUGAGACCUCUGUAUUACCGCGGCUGCUGGCAC